rnacentral:rRNA from 1 species
UACGUAGGGUGCAAGCGUUAAUCGGAAUUACUGGGCGUAAAGCGUGCGCAGGCGGUUGUGUAAGUCAGAUGUGAAAUCCCCGGGCCUCAACCUGGGAAUUGCAUUUGAGACUGCACGGCUAGAGUGUGUCAGAGGGGGGUAGAAUUCCACGUGUAGCAGUGAAAUGCGUAGAGAUGUGGAGGAAUACCGAUGGCGAAGGCAGCCCCCUGGGAUAACACUGACGCUCA